rnacentral:rRNA from 1 species
AUGGUGACCAAGGUGGUGGACCUCCGCUCCGACACGGUCACCAAGCCAUCGGAGGCCAUGCGUGCCGCCAUGGCCGCAGCGGAGGUGGACGACGACGUCCUGGGCGCGGACCCGACCGCGCAGCGCUUCGAGGCGGAGAUGGCCAGGAUCAUGGGCAAGGAGGCCGCCCUGUUCGUGCCGUCGGGCACCAUGGGCAACCUCGUCUCCGUCCUCGCGCACUGCGACACCAGGGGCAGCGAAGUCAUCCUCGGGGACAACUCCCACAUCCACAUCUACGAGAACGGAGGCAUCUCCACCCUCGGCGGCGUCCACCCCAGGACCGUGCCCAACAACCCUGACGGCACCAUGGACAUCGACAAGAUCGUUGCCGCCAUCAGGCAUCGGGACGGGGCGAUGUAUUAUCCCACCACCAGGCUCAUCUGCUUGGAGAACACACACGGAAACACUGGUGGGAAGUGUCUGUCUGUAGAGUACACCGACAAGGUUGGUGAGGUUGCUCAAAGCCAUGGCUUGAAGCUUCAUAUCGACGGAGCUCGUAUUUUUAACGCUUCCGUGGCACUUGGAGUUCCAGUUCAUAGACUUGUGAGAGCUGCUGAUUCAGUUUCUGUAUGCCUAUCCAAAGGUUUGGGUGCUCCUGUCGGAUCAGUUAUCGUUGGUUCGAAGGCCUUCAUAGACAAGGCUAAAAUUCUUAGGAAGACACUUGGUGGUGGAAUGAGGCAGGUAGGAAUUCUCUGUGCUGCUGCCUAUGUUGCGGUUCGCGACACAGUAGGCAAGCUCGCCGAUGACCAUACGAAGGCCAAAGUUUUAGCAGAUGGUCUGAAGAAAAUUAAACAGAUUACAGUUGAUUUAGCUUCAGUGGAGACCAAUAUGGUAUUCUUUGAUAUCGCGGAUCCACGCAUAACACCUGAUAAACUGUGUCAAGUCCUGGAACAGCGCAAUGUGCUUGCAAUGCCAGCAAGCUCCAAGAGUGUCAGACUUGUCACCCACUACCAAAUUUCAGACAGCGACGUCCAGUAUACUUUGACCUGCAUCGAGAAAGCCGUGGAGGAAAUACUGUCAGGGAAUGCCAAAUUCGAGCGCCUGACAAACGGCACUACCACGAAUUCAUAUGGGCACUAG